CGCGCUCCCGGAAGUGGCGCGUUACGUCGCUGUGCGUGCAGGCGGCUGCGUCGGGCUGCAGGAGAAGAUGGCGGUCUCCACAGGAGUUAAAGUUCCUCGUAAUUUUCGCUUGUUGGAAGAACUUGAAGAAGGACAAAAAGGAGUAGGCGAUGGUACGGUUAGCUGGGGCCUUGAAGAUGAUGAAGAUAUGACACUUACAAGGUGGACAGGCAUGAUUAUUGGGCCACCAAGGACAAAUUAUGAAAACAGAAUAUAUAGCCUGAAAGUAGAAUGUGGACCUAAAUACCCAGAAGCUCCUCCAUCAGUUAGAUUUGUAACCAAAAUUAAUAUGAAUGGAAUUAAUAAUUCCAGUGGAAUGGUGGAUGCACGGAGCAUACCAGUGUUAGCAAAAUGGCAAAACUCAUAUAGCAUUAAAGUUGUACUUCAAGAGCUAAGACGUCUAAUGAUGUCCAAAGAAAAUAUGAAGCUUCCACAGCCACCAGAAGGACAAACAUACAACAAUUAAUUUUAGUGGAUCUCAAACUUGUCUUAAAUCAACAGCCUUCUACUCAUGUUAAUGUCUUGAUUAAAUAUCACAAUGCAAAAUACCCACACAUUAAGUAAAAGAAUUCCAGCUGGUAAACAUGACCUGGACAUUUGUAAGAAUAUAUUUAAUAUAUGUACACCAUUAUGUUUUCAGCUUACAGGAGGAAAAAUGCAGCACCAUUUUUUUUUCUCUUGUUAAGGCACUGUCAUUUAAGCAUAAACCUGGAGUACUCAAAAUAGAAUUCAGGUUUACAAGAUGAAAGCAUGGAGAGAAGAGUCAGAUGCUGUGGAAGCAUGUGUGUUUCUGAAAAGUAAAAAAAUCUCAAGAAGGAAAAACAGAAAUGGCAUGCUUUAUCCAUCUUGCUUAGCGAAAGAGCUUCAAGUUGAAAUUGUCUAAAGUAGCAGGUACAAUGAAUCUUGUCACAAAUUGUGUUAAUUUUUGAAGCGGUGUGGGUGCUGACUACUAGUAGUAUCAAAAAUAUGUUCAGGAUUGUUUUGAUACCUGUAUUUAUGAUAAAAAAAUGUCGUGGGGGAGGCCGAUGAGUAUCUGUUAAAAGCCGUUCCUGUGUGUUACAUGUAACAGACAUGGUAAAUAUUUGUUUACAGUCUUUGUUUGACAAACCAUGCAUUUAAGUGAAAUCAACAAAAAAAGGAAAUAGGUGUAUGGAUAUGUGAUUUUGAGAUUAAAGUUAGUCUUAAAAUGUAAAUAAAAUGUGGAACGUGUCCUCAGAAACCGUGCCAUUUCUAUUAUAUUGAUGUGGUAUAUGUACAGUACCUUGCUGAGGUAGCAAAAAUUGGAAUUAUUGUAGCUAUUCAUCUAUAAACACCUUUUAUUAUUACUCUAUUUUGUAUACUUCUUGUGAAUUGGAAUUUGCAGAGUAUCUCAGAGAACAAAUUACCGAAUUAGUUUAAUUUCUUCUUUGGAGAAGGAGGAAUCCUGGGUAUUAAUUAUAUUUUGAAUUUGAGUUUACCAGAAAUAUUAUUUAAAAAUGUUUGAAUUCUAGCAAUUCUUAUAGAAUUAUAGACUACAGAUGAUCCAAGUACACAUUCCAUUUUUAAUUCUUGAGUUUUCUGUGACAUGUCUUCCCCUAGUGCUUUUAAUACUUACUAAUUGGGAUUAAUUGUAUCCAGUUUCACUUAAUCUCCACUUUGGCAGACGCUAAUUUUGACCUGAAAGUUCAUUUGUGUUCUGCCUUUACCGAAAUAGGCUUUAGGUCACUUUUUCAUUUCAAAGCACUGGGUAUACUACUUUGUUAAAAAUACUCCCUUCUUAUGAAUUCACUGCAGAAAAUAGAAAGGUGGUCAGGUAGCAAGGACGAAUUUCUCAAAGGUGUCCUGACAUGUUUUUAUCAGUUCAUUCAAAGUUAAAGAUCUGGGCUACUUUUUCUUGAUCGAUAAUACAUAAAAGUCAGUGAUAGUUUGUCUAAAGUUACUAAUUUCAACAUGGCUAUUCUUUUUCAUUAUCAAAAGAGGUUUAAAAUGCUUUCAAAUGACAGAUAGAAAAUAUAUACACACAAAUUAGUGCAUGUCUAAUUUAUUAAAGUAGGUUUGAAAUGAAUUCUUACCUUGGAAUACAUUCUUAAAAAUUUUAAAUGGUUGAAGAUGAACUUGAAUUACAGUGGCAUCAUAUGCAAGACCAUUGGCAAUGGUCUGAAUCAGUUUAACUCCUUUUCCACUUUGAGAAUGUGUCUUGUCACACAUGGGGACUAAUAAUCAUUUGAAUGCUGUUUAAUAAUUUAUAUAGUGGUGGGCUGAGAGUCUGAGUACUUGGUCACUUGUCCUUUUCCCUUUUCCCAUAUCCACUAUUGUGAAGGGUUUCUUCUCUCAAGUAUAUGUUGUGUGAGUCAGCCCUAGAAUGUUUAUUUCCUCUGUUUUGUCUUUGGGACUGUGGAUCUCUGCAGAGAUCUGCAUGCCAAUUAGCCAGUUCCCAAAGCAGAACCCAUUUUGCAUGUCACAAUCAAGAUAUACAUGGCAAUCUAAGACACACUGGUUGAUUAUGGAAGGAGCUAAUGUAGAGCUGCUCUUAAUUACAGUAACAUUUCUAAGGCUGCAUUUUUGAAGCAAUUUUUUCCUUUGUUUUCUAAAGUGGCUAAGGUUGUAGGAAUGUGUGGUAUUAAAUGAACUGUAAAAUUGCCUUUGAAACUUGUUUAAAAGGCUAGCAGUUGUGACCCUAGGGGGAUGAUCAUAUAUUAAUAAAGAUUACAAAAAUAAAAUUCUUGUCCUGUUAGGUCAGUGUUAUGCUUUAAUGGUUUUAAUUACUAGUUUUCAGAAUUGCUGAUUGUAACAUUUUACUAAUAUUUCAAAGUAAUGGCAUUUAUUAGGGGUUUUCAGAAUUUUGACACAAACAUUUGUAAGGAUAGUCAGUAGUAUUUGAGUCUUCUGGGUGUAAUACAUAAGAAAUUUAUAAUUUCAGAUUAUCCUUUUAAAAGAAUUUAUCACUUCAGUUUGAGUGCUUGGAGAGUAUAUUAGUUUCACUACAUAUGGUUAAUUAGUCUGGAUAACUUAAUGCCAAUUCAUUGAUUUAAAUAUUUCCCACUGAAAAAUAUUGAUAAAUAUAUGUAAAAUUAAUAUUGUAUUGAAUUUCGAGGAGGCAGAUGGAAACUAUUAGCACAUUAUCCUUAAUAGAUUUGGUGUGUAUGGCUUUGGGUGGUUCUGGUAGGUGCAUGAUGGAAUUACUUUGGUCAGAACGAUGUUAACGUUUUUAGUGAGCACAUGACUAUGUUCUUACGUGCAUUUUAAAGACUAUAGGUACUAAUGAUAAAGUCAUGAAUAAUGGGAUUUGGGAGGUAUUUAAGGUUAUUUUUCCCCUGAUUUCUUUUUAGAAGUAUAUUUUUUAGAUGUGUAGAAUCAUAGUAUCAUUUAUUGCUGGGGAGGAUCUGAAAGGCACUGAUUUUACUUUUCUGAUAACUAUCAAUAUAAUUUUCCAGUACCAACUUGAUUGAUUUUUGGUUAUUUUCACAAAAAGUUUCCAAUUUUCACAGUUCUGGACAGUAUAUGUAUUUUGAAUAUAAAAUAGAAACAUAAAAAGGAAUGGAUGCAGUGUAUUACAGAAUUGGUAAGAGCAUUAGCUGUUAAUUCCCACCCAGUACCUUGUUUACUAAAAAGCAGGAAAUGUAUGGAAAUAAAGUAUCUUUUAUGCUAAAGUUAUAGUAUGUCUUAUAGAAGUUACAAAGAGUGGAUGGAGAUCUUACCAUAGUUCACACUGAAAAUGUUAUUUUAAAAUUAUAGUGGAGCGUUGAAAAUAAAAGAUACACCAUGAGCAUUUUCUGAAGAGAAAAUUUUGAAGGUAUUUGAUGAUACAGAAAGUGACGUCAGAACCAUCGUUUUGUGAAAUAAGGGAGUUUUGGAAACUCCUGGGGGUGGUAUUUUGCAGCCUUUGUGGUUUAGCAGCCUUUACUUUAAUAGAGGAACGAAAGUAGAUUUUCUUCACAGUUGAUAACUGACAAAGACAAAUGUAUCGUUUUACUCCUUUUCAAGCCAAGUAAGUAAUAAUGAUUGUCAGAUGUCCAGAUUAUAUCUGUUAUCCUAAAUUAUCUUUCUAUUGCUAUAAUUUAAAAAAUCUAGAUAAAGUGGGCAAAUAGACUUCUUCAAUAAUUGCAAUACUCAAGUGAAAAUAAUGGAGUACACAAGAAAAGUAAAAUACUUAGUUGCCUGGGUUUCUUAGUCUUUAGUAAUGUAUGGACUUCUUUAAGGAGAAAAAUAAUACUUGUGGACUCAGCAUUGUUUUGAAUUAUUUUUGUUCAAACAUUGUUUAAUGCAUAAAACUGUACUAAUGCAAAUGUUGUAUAUGCUCUUGGGCCUUUAUAAAAUUAUAAAGUAAAUUGCACACAACUACAGAGUAAUUAAAAUGUAAAAUAAUUUAGAA